UACGGGGGGAGCAAGCGUUGUUCGGAAUUACUGGGCGUAAAGGGCGCGUAGGCGGCUCUAUAAGUCAGAUGUGAAAUUCCGGGGCUCAACCCCGGAGCGGCAUCCGAAACUAUAGAACUAGAGUGCAGUUAGGGAAAACGGAAUUCCACGUGUAGCGGUGAAAUGCGUAGAUAUGUGGAAGAACACCAGUGGUGAAGACGGUUUUCUGGGCUGUAACUGACGCUGAGGCGCGAAAGCAUGGGGAGCAAACAGG
rnacentral:rRNA from 1 species